GUAAGGAAUAUUGGACAAUGGACGCAAGUCUGAUCCAGCCAUGCCGCGUGAAGGAUUAAGGUCCUCUGGAUUGUAAACUUCUUUUAUAAGGGACGAAAAAAGGCUUUUCUAAGUCGUCUGACGGUACCUUAUGAAUAAGCACCGGCUAACUCCGUGCCAGCAGCCGCGGUAAUACGGAGGGUGCAAGCGUUAUCCGGAUUCACUGGGUUUAAAGGGUGCGUAGGCGGGCAGGUAAGUCAGUGGUGAAAUCCUAGAGCUUAACUCUAGAACUGCCAUUGAUACUAUCUGUCUUGAAUAUUGUGGAGUUAAGCGGAAUAUGUCAUGUAGCGGUGAAAUGCUUAGAUAUGACAUAGAACAACUAUUGCGAAGGCAGCUUACUACGCAUAUAUUGACGCUGAGGCACGAAAGCGUGGGGAUCAAACAGGAUUAGAUACCCCAGUAGUCC
rnacentral:rRNA from 1 species